GGAGAGCAUGGUCCCGACUCUUAUGUUAGCUGUCUCUUAGCAAGAUACAUGGUAGUUUAGGCGCGGAGAGAGGUGCGUUAGUCCCGAGUGAGGUGCUGUUAAAUACGGGCUUGCAAAGCGGGGGGUGUUAUUAGUAGAAAGAAGAGGCCCCAUGGUAAAUCUCUAACACCAGUACAGAAAUUUGGGCAAUGGGGGACACCCCGACCCAGCUAAUGAGAAGAGGGGUGAGUAAGACUGGUGCCAGAACUCUCGGUAAUGCCAGCUCCCCAAGUUAACACAUAACGGCUAGGUGGUCAGGCAGGGAUUAAUAAAGGUGCUGCGCGCGUUAAUUUAGAGGUCAAAUUCGCUGAGAUUAAUGGCUUGGCCUUACAGCACUUGACUGUUGAAUCCGCGAAACUGUGGGGCUAGACCCGGAUCAGAUACCCGGUUAUUCCACAGCUGAAAUCCGUCAUUUACUGCCUGGGGACUACGAGGGAACCUUUAAAACCCGAGGGACUUGGCGGUGCACUAUACCUCCCAGGGGAACCUGGCCCUUAAUUCGAUGAUCCACGAAUCUCUUACCUUUCCUUGUUUAAAUAUGCCCUGUGGGGGCAUAUUUUUAUCAGUUUGCAUACCGCCGUUUUCAGCUUGUAUCGUGAGGUAAAAGAAACAGGCUAAUCAGCACUGUGAGCAUGGCCAGUCGGUAUGCUGGUGAUGGCACUGCUAGGAAUUCAGGUAAACGUGUAGCCUAUGGAAAGGGGGUGCUGGGUUACAAUUGUGGUUUGAAGUGGAUGGUAGCCCGAAGGGGCUGCCUGAAAGCGUACUUGGAAGUAAUGGCUUUGGGCAAUGAAGUCGUGAAUAGUGCUCUGGUGUGUGUACAAAUCGCCCGUCGCUCGCCCCGAAAGGGGUGAUAAGUCGUAACACGGUAGGGGUACCGGAAGGUGUCCCUAAAACAAC
rnacentral:rRNA from 1 species